rnacentral:rRNA from 1 species
UCCCUGGUGAUCGAAAGCUCCGGCGGUGCAGGAUGAGCCCGCGGCCUAUCAGCUUGUUGGUGAGGUAAUGGCUCACCAAGGCGACGACGGGUAGCCGGCCUGAGAGGGCGACCGGCCACACUGGGACUGAGACACGGCCCAGACUCCUACGGGAGGCAGCAGUGGGGAAUAUUGCACAAUGGGCGAAAGCCUGAUGCAGCGACGCCGCGUGAGGGAUGACGGCCUUCGGGUUGUAAACCUCUUUCAGCAGGGAAGAAGCGAAAGUGACGGUACCUGCAGAAGAAGCGCCGGCUAACUACGUGCCAGCAGCCGCGGUAAUACGUAGGGCGCGAGCGUUGUCCGGAAUUAUUGGGCGUAAAGAGCUCGUAGGCGGGCUUGUCACGUCGGGUUGUGAAAGCCCGGGGCUUAACCCCGGGUCUGCAGUCGAUACGGGCAGGCUAGAGUUCGGUAGGGGAGAUCGGAAUUCCUGGUGUAGCGGUGAAAUGCGCAGAUAUCAGGAGGAACACCGGUGGCGAAGGCGGAUCUCUGGGCCGAUACUGACGCUGAGGAGCGAAAGCGUGGGGAGCGAACAGGAUUAGAUACCCUGGUAGUCCACGCCGUAAACGGUGGGCACUAGGUGUGGGCAACAUUCCACGUUGUCCGUGCCGCAGCUAACGCAUUAAGUGCCCCGCCUGGGGGAGUACGGCCGCAAGGCUAAAAACUCAAAGGAAUUGACGGGGGCCCGCACAAGCGGCGGGAGCAUGUGGCUUAAAUUCGACGCAACCGCGAAAGAACCUUACCAAGGGUUUGACAUACACCCGAAAACGUCUUGGAGAC